rnacentral:rRNA from 2 species
GGGUUGUGAGGUUAAGCGACUAAGCGUACACGGUGGAUGCCCUGGCAGUCAGAGGCGAUGAAGGGCGUGCUAAUCUGCGAUAAGCGCCGGUAAGGUGAUAUGAACCGUUAUAACCGGCGAUACCCGAAUGGGGAAACCCAGUGUGACUCGUCACACUAUCAUUAACUGAAUCCAUAGGUUAAUGAGGCGAACCGGGGGAACUGAAACAUCUAAGUACCCCGAGGAAAAGAAAUCAACCGAGAUUCCCCCAGUAGCGGCGAGCGAACGGGGAGGAGCCCAGAGCCUGAAUCAGCAUGUGUGUUAGUGGAAGCGUCUGGAAAGGCGCGCGAUACAGGGUGACAGCCCCGUACACAAAAGCGCAUGUGCUGUGAGCUCGAUGAGUAGGGCGGGACACGUGAUAUCCUGUCUGAAUAUGGGGGGACCAUCCUCCAAGGCUAAAUACUCCUGACUGACCGAUAGUGAACCAGUACCGUGAGGGAAAGGCGAAAAGAACCCCGGCGAGGGGAGUGAAAAAGAACCUGAAACCGUGUACGUACAAGCAGUGGGAGCACCCUUUUGGGUGUGACUGCGUACCUUUUGUAUAAUGGGUCAGCGACUUAUAUUCUGUAGCAAGGUUAACCGUAUAGGGGAGCCGUAGGGAAACCGAGUCUUAACCGGGCGUUAAGUUGCAGGGUAUAGACCCGAAACCCGGUGAUCUAGCCAUGGGCAGGUUGAAGGUUGGGUAACACUAACUGGAGGACCGAACCGACUAAUGUUGAAAAAUUAGCGGAUGACCUGUGGCUGGGGGUGAAAGGCCAAUCAAACCGGGAGAUAGCUGGUUCUCCCCGAAAGCUAUUUAGGUAGCGCCUCGUGAAUUCAUCUCCGGGGGUAGAGCACUGUUUCGGCUAGGGGGCCAUCCCGGCUUACCAACCCGAUGCAAACUGCGAAUACCGGAGAAUGUUAUCACGGGAGACACACGGCGGGUGCUAACGUCCGUCGUGAAGAGGGAAACAACCCAGACCGCCAGCUAAGGUCCCAAAGUCAUGGUUAAGUGGGAAACGAUGUGGGAAGGCCCAGACAGCCAGGAUGUUGGCUUAGAAGCAGCCAUCAUUUAAAGAAAGCGUAAUAGCUCACUGGUCGAGUCGGCCUGCGCGGAAGAUGUAACGGGGCUAAACCAUGCACCGAAGCUGCGGCAGCGA